GCCGUCCUAGCUCAGUGGUAGAGCGCGUGGCUUUUAACCACGUGGUCGUGGGUUCAAUCCCCACGGACGGCG
rfam:Genlisea aurea contig_14536, whole genome shotgun sequence.